rnacentral:rRNA from 1 species
UACGGGGGGGGCAAGCGUUGUUCGGAAUUACUGGGCGUAAAGGGCGCGUAGGCGGCCUUCUAAGUCGGACGUGAAAUCCCUCGGCUUAACCGAGGAACUGCGUCCGAUACUGAAAGGCUUGAAUCCGGGAGAGGGAUGUGGAAUUCCAGGUGUAGCGGUGAAAUGCGUAGAUAUCAGGAGGAACACCGGUGGCGAAGGCGGCUUCCUGGACAAUUACUGACGCUGAGACGCGAAAGCGUGGGGAGCAAACAGG